CGCCUGAACUGCCUUCUGCUCUUGUGCCACGUGACGGGAGAUUAAAGUGCUCUGCAGGAUGGACUCCACAGAGGGCCGAAGGUAGUCCUGGCAACGGAGCAGGGGGAGGUCAACACAACACAGUGGGUCGGAGGUUGGGGCUUAGAAUCAAAUGGAACAAUUCAGAUGUCAUUUUGCACUGCCUCCACACUUCUACAGAUGUCCGUUGCGCCAUCCUGUGGGUUAAGAUGGCUUCUGGGGCUGUCCAACAGAUCUGAGGUUACUCCCGGUAAAGAAUGAGCUUGGGCCUGUCGUGGAAACUGACUCAACAGAACAUCCUUCUCAAAACCAUACUCCAGCCCCACAUAAUAAAAUCUGUGUUAUGCAAUUC